rnacentral:misc_RNA from 1 species
GAUGAAGAACGCAGCGAAAUGCGAUAAGUAAUGCGAAUUGCAGAAUCCGUGAGUCGUCGAAUCUUUGAACGCACAUUGCGCCCCUUGGUAUCCCGAGGGGCAUGCCUGUUCGAGCGUCAUUUCACCACUCAAGCCUGGCUUGGUGUUGGGCGACGUCCCCUUUGGGGACGCGCCUCGAAACGCUCGGCGGCGUGCCACCGGCUUUAAGCGUAGCAGAAUCUUUCGCUUUGGAAGUCGGGGCCCCGUCUGCCGGAAGACCUACUCGCAAGGUUGACCUCGGAUCAGGCAGGGAUACCCGCUGAACUUAAGCAUAUCAAUAAGCGGAGGA